UACAGAGACUGCGAGCGUUAUUCGGAUUCAUUGGGCGUAAAGGGUGCGUAGGCGGCGCGGUAAGUCGGGUGUGAAAUCUCGGAGCUUAACUCCGAAACUGCAUUCGAUACUGCCGUGCUUGAGGACUGGAGAGGAGACUGGAAUUUACGGUGUAGCGGUGAAAUGCGUAGAUAUCGUAAGGAAGACCAGUGGCGAAGGCGGGUCUCUGGACAGUUCCUGACGCUGAGGCACGAAGGUCAGGGGAGCAAACGGG
rnacentral:rRNA from 1 species